CUGGAAUGCAGAUCUUAGGUUCUCACUGUGGUUCUUGCUAGUUCUGUGGAGGUCUGUCUGCACAUCUGGAGCCAAGGGAAGCGUUUGACAGGAAUUCUAUCCCCAAACUACAGCCCAGCAGUGAGUUCUGGGAUACAGAAGUCCCUGAGAGUUCAAUACAUGGCUUAUGUUCCUUCUCUGAAUUCUGGGUACUUGAACUUCUUCCUAUUUUAUCUCCUGCUGAAAUGGCAGCUGAACAGUGGAAUAACUGAAAUACUGGCAAAAGAUUAGGUAAGUCUAGGUGGAAAUUUUAGAUGAACAUCAUCUACUGGGAAGGGAUAGUGCAGUGUGAGCCAGGC
rnacentral:lncRNA from 1 species